AGUUCGGAUUGCAGGCNGCAACUCGCCUGCAUGAAGCUGGAAUUGCUAGUAAUCGCGGAUCAGCAAGCCGCGGUGAAUACGUUCCCGGGCCUUGUACACACCGCCCGUCACACCAUGAGAGUCGGGAACACCCGAAGUCCGUAGUCUAACCGCAAGGGGGGCGCGGCCGAAGGUGGGUCCGGUAAUUGGGGUGAAGUCGUAACAAGGUAGC
rnacentral:rRNA from 1 species